GCUAAGCUUUUGGCUGACUGACUGGGUCUGGUUGAAGCGUAUCGCGUCGUAUCGUCUUCGAAUGGCUCAGCACAGAAGCUCAAGAAAGUGACGGUACAUUGUGUGCUUUACUAUGUGCGGCGCUCCACGGCGAAGAGCCCCAACGGCCGCACUCCACCAGCUAUGCCAGCAAUAAUGUUACGUGCCAGAAGCGGCAGCAACAGCAACAACAACCCAGCACCCAUCCAAUGACAACUCAAGUCGGAACUGAACGGGAAUGAAGCGGCGUCGGCGAUGGCGGCGGAGGAGAAGCAGAAGGUGUUUGCUGCCUUUACUCGGCCGACAGCAGCGCCAGUGUUUCACAGCUAGCGACACGUAAAGCACACACGACCAGAACCUGUGCCUGUGAGGGAGCAACUGAGUUACGGACUCGCGUCGCAAUCGCAAUCUCACGUACAAUUGCUUCCGAGCGCGCUGCGAAGCGGAUGCGGAUGUUGUGUCGCGCGGCGCGUGUUUUUUCUUUUCGUUAAUUGUGUGUUGGCCACCAGACGUCGCGUCUGUGCGACGGUUGUCCGUUACCGCUGUGACCGCGUUAUUGCCUGCAAUUGACCGCGGCACGAGCCGCUAGCGUUACGCACCUUUUUUAUGUGCCGCUGAGCUCGUGGAACGCGACUCGGAGACAAGAAAAACGGUUAUUGUGACGGAAGUUGAUGGUGGCGCUUUGAUCGCCAGUCAGGAAGAAACUCACUUUUUUCACCGUUACAAUGCGGUGUAUUGGAUAAGUGAUUGAGUGGUGAAGCGCGAAGUGAUUGCGUGUGCAUACAACAAAAAUCUAUAAUGAAAACUUAUUUAUGGAAAUGACUGCGAAAUAUUGUAAAUACGCUCAUGUACGUUCGUAGAGCGCUUGCAAUGCAAAAUAACGAGUGUGAACUGUGAAGUGUUUCAUAUCACGCAUGUUACAUCAUUAAAGGCAAAAAAGCAUCUUCGGGAAGAAAUAUGUAAUGUUGUAACUGUUUACGCGGUGAUCAUUUAAAGUGUUCUCCACAUACACUUACUACUUCCGUCUUGAGCUGAAACAAAAAUUAUAAUUACUCGACAACUAUCGCAAUAUCUUCAGAUUCAUCUAGAUUUGUUCAGUGAUGUCGGUCGUUCAUGAUCUUCCUUCGUAAUUUCAUUAAAAAUUAUCUGAGUGCAAGAAAUUUAUCUAAUUAUCGUAUUCCCUCGUACGUCACAUAUGCAUAUAUGUGUAGUAUCUGUAAAAUGUGAUUAAACCGAUUGAUUUGAGCAGGAACUGGCCAUUUGAUAACUGCUCUGUGUGACAAAGUGAGACCUGUGAAUUUAUCAAUUAGUAACGAAUAGCGGCGGAGUGAUCUGGUGUUACUUUGUGAUGUUUGGUUUAUUUAUUUAUUUCUGAUGAUAACGCCGUGAGCGAGGAGGGAGCCAGCUGGAGCCAAUCACUGAGUACUGCGCUAUUGGAUUUAAUCUGGAAAAAUACUUCUUUAAUGAGUUAUUGGAAACAAAAUUUCCUCAAACGGCCUGCGGACGAUGUCGAUACUAGCGGUGCUGGCGGUCCAGAAAAUUUCGAACCACCGGUCAAACUUCAGCACAACGGUUCCGAAAACUUAACAAAAAUUCUCCGUUGAAAUUGUA
rnacentral:misc_RNA from 1 species